GACGAACGCUGGCGGCGUGCUUAACACAUGCAAGUCGAACGAUAAGGCCCAGCAUUUGUGCGGCGCCAGAGUGGCGAUCGGGUGAAUUAGCAGACAGUAACCUACCCUUGACUCUGGGUUCACUUUACGAAACUGGGGCCUAUACCGGCCAGGAGCUCCUGCUGAAUGGUGGGGGACGGAACGUUUCGGCGGAAGGGGAUGGACUCGCGGCUUAUCUGCUUGUUCGUGGGGUUGUGGCAUACCUAGGCAUUGACGGGUAGCGGGCCAGGGAGGGUAACCGGCCACAUUAGAACGGAGAUACGGCCCAGACUCGUACGGUAGGCAGCAGUGGGGAAGAGUGCACAAUGGGCGGAAGCGUGAUGCAGCAACGCCGCGUGCGGUAAGACGGCCAGCGAGUUGUAAAGCACUUUCGCCUGUGACGAAGCGUGAGGGACGGUAAUGGGUAAAGAAGCACCGGCUAACUACGUG
rnacentral:rRNA from 1 species